rnacentral:rRNA from 1 species
AGCGAACGCUGGCGGCAGGCUUAACACAUGCAAGUCGAACGCAUCCUUCGGGGUGAGUGGCAGACGGGUGAGUAACACGUGGGAACGUACCCUUCGAUCUGGGAUAACUUCGGGAAACUGGAGCUAAUACCGGAUACGCCCUUUUGGGGAAAGGUUUACUGUCGAAGGAUCGGCCCGCGUCUGAUUAGCUAGUUGGUGGGGUAACGGCCUACCAAGGCGACGAUCAGUAGCUGGUCUGAGAGGAUGAUAAGCCACACUGGGACUGAGACACGGCCCAGACUCCUACGGGAGGCAGCAGUGGGGAAUAUUGGACAAUGGGCGCAAGCCUGAUCCAGCCAUGCCGCGUGAGUGAUGAAGGCCUUAGGGUUGUAAAGCUCUUUUGUCCGGGACGAUAAUGACGGUACCGGAAGAAUAAGCCCCGGCUAACUUCGUG